rnacentral:sRNA from 1 species
AGUAAGGGUACGGUGUUUUCCCGUGAGUUGGAUCUUUGGCUACUGUCAGGCUCAGUCCUAACCACGGCGUCGGUACGCAGGUUAGACAGACGGGUAUCUCUGCUUUUAAAUUACUCGAAGAAGGCGCGGGUCUGAUGCAAAGAUAGUCAUUCCCUACUCAGAUUCUCACCCAGACCUUUAUGGAAGGUCUUCACCGCUUCCGCACCAGGCAUUCUCCACGGCUGCUUCUUUCUCCCUAGGUGUCCACAAACGCUGUUCAGCGGAGAGUGCAAGAAAUAGUGCGGUUCACACGGCAGCUGCAGCGAGUCCACCCCAACGUGCUUGCUAAGGCACUGACCCGAGGAAUUCUCCACCAGGACAAGAACCUUGUGGUCAUCAAUAAGCCCUACGGUCUCCCUGUGCAUGGUGGUCCUGGGGUCCAGCUCUGCAUCACUGAUGUACUACCUAUCCUGGCAAAGAUGCUUCAUGGCCACAAGGCAGAGCCCUUGCAUCUGUGCCACCGGCUGGACAAGGAAACCACAGGCGUAAUGGUGUUGGCUUGGGACAAGGACAUGGCACAUCAAGUCCAAGAGUUGUU